UGGCUACUGAUUGCGUUAUUUACCCUUAUCUGUUUACAGUCGUCGCGUAAAUCUAUGUUGAUAAUAUUUAUAAUUGGAAAUUUCCUUUCGUUCUAAAAAUAGAUCCCUGCAUCAAGUAGCUGAAAUGGGUCCCUGUUGGAGUUUUCCGUUGCUCAAUAGGUACACGUGUUUUUGAAAACAUUUCGGUCUUCUCUGCGUUUAUCCAAUUAGCGUGUGUCAUUUAGUCAUAUUUUUUUUUGCAUUGCUCGAGAUUUAUCAUAACAUACAUUGAAUUAAAACGAAAGUGAAUGUCCGGUAAAAAUAUUAAAUAGAAGCAUGUUUUCUGCUUCUUUUGAAAAGCUGAGGGAAAGUUAUGAUAACAAGACUCAGCCAGUGUUUUAGGAAGCGUCCAUCGAAAGCACGGGCGUGUGUGCGUACCUUCUAACGAGAACAUUGCUAAUAAACACGGGGUUUCGUC
rnacentral:lncRNA from 1 species